UACGUAGGGCGCAAGCGUUGUCCGGAAUUAUUGGGCGUAAAGAGCCCGUAGGCGGCUUGUCACGUCGGAUGUGAAAGCCCGGGGCUUAACCCCGGGUCUGCAUUCGAUACGGGCAGGCUAGAGUUCGGUAGGGGAGAUCGGAAUUCCUGGUGUAGCGGUGAAAUGCGCAGAUAUCAGGAGGAACACCGGUGGCGAAGGCGGAUCUCUGGGCCGAUACUGACGCUGAGGAGCGAAAGCGUGGGGAGCGAACAGG
rnacentral:rRNA from 1 species